rnacentral:rRNA from 1 species
GACGAACGCUGGCGGCGUGGAUUAGGCAUGCAAGUCGAACGGUAAACAUUCCUUCGGGAGUGUUGAGAGUGGCGAACGGGUGAGUAACGCGUAGGUGAUCUACCUUCAGAUGGGGGACAACCCAGGGAAACUUGGGCUAAUACCGCAUGUGGCUGUAAAGCUAAAGCCGGCCUCUGCUUGCAAGCUGGUGUCUGGAGAUGAGCCUGCGUCUGAUUAGCUAGUUGGUGGGGUAACGGCCUACCGAGGCGAUGAUAAGUAGGCGGCUUUAACGAGUGGUCGCCCACACUGGGAUUGAGAUACGGCCCAGACUCCUACGGGUGGCAG